GGGCAUGCGCGGACGGCGGCGGGCGGGAGGACGCCGAUGUCAACAAGGCCCGGGGACGCUCCAUCCGGCGCCGCCCCUCGGGUCGCCCCGCCCCCAGACCCAAACCACGCGAGGUCUCGAGGGUCCCGGGACGCGGCUUCAGAAAGAGGAAGCCCGGGAAACCGGUUUCCGCGUUGCAGCUGCUAUCCAGCGCUCCCUGGCCGGUCCCAGAACCGAGACCUGGGCGCUAGGUGCAGCUGCUCUGCGGUGCCCGCUGCUGUGUGGGCGCCUGUACGUCAGUCAGGGCAGGCGGCGCCGGGAGCGGACCGAGGGCUGCCCGGCGGAAGGGCUCUGUCCGCGGCUGCGGGCCUUAAGAACGUGCGGGCCGCCUCCGUUGUGGGCCUCCCGGUGAGCAGCUAUUUGGGGCGCUCGGGAUGUCGCGCUGACCGUGUACGGAACCGUUUAAGUCAGAUGCUGUUGGCGGAGAACCUGCGAGAGCGCAGGCGAGCAGAGCAGUUGCUGUCCCGUUUGCUAUAUUUGCAGCGGACGGAGCAUGAAUGCAGGCCCGGCGGCCGCCCUCCCGGGUCUCCUGCAGGAUCGCUCCAUCUGCGGCGCCCGGCCCCAGGUCCCAGCUGUGACGGGCCCACGUGGCAGUCUCGCAAGGUUCGCUUUCUGCCGUACCAAGCAGGAAUUUCAGCACCCGAAAAUCUCCUACAUGGGCUAGGCAGAUUCUUCACCAUCUGAGCCACCAGGGAAGCCCAGAGCUCCCUCAGCCCUCCUGCCUGCCAUGUGAGGACACAAAGAAGAUGGCAGUCUGAAUCCAGAACUGCACCUCAUUUGCUGUGAGCAUCCGAGCGUGGCAGCCGCCCUGAAGUUCAUCAUCAGAUCCUACUCACCCAGGGAUUCAUCUAUAAUGGUCCCUGGAAAGGCUUUUAUAAUUUGCAUUUUUCAAUUGUAUCAAAGUCACAUGUGUCAUGAUGAAUAAAAGCCAAAUCUUGCUAUAGAACUGAAACCAUCAACAGUUCCUUCACCCAUCCUUCCUUAUCCCUGACCCACUCUCCUCACUACUCCUUUAAAAAUGCUUAGGACGCUCAUUUCUUUUUCUAAAGUCACAGGUUAACUGCUGUGUCACAUGCGGACACUCUUCUCCUCUUCGAACAGCAGAUGUGGAGAUGGUUCACUUACCUCACUGCUCCUGCUCCCCUGCGUUUACCCUUUUGCAUUUAUGUCUCCUACUACCAUUUCCGUCUUUAGGAC
ensembl:lncRNA